rnacentral:rRNA from 1 species
UGGGGAAUAUUGCACAAUGGGGGAAACCCUGAUGCAGCGACGCCGCGUGAGUGAAGAAGUAUUUCGGUAUGUAAAGCUCUAUCAGCAGGGAAGAAAUAGCGACCUUUGGGUCGCCAGACGGUACCUGAUUAAGAAGCCCCGGCUAACUACGUGCCAGCAGCCGCGGUAAUACGUAGGGGGCAAGCGUUAUCCGGAUUUACUGGGUGUAAAGGGAGCGUAGACGGCAGCACAAGUCUGAAGUGAAAUGCCGGGGCUUAACCCCGGAACUGCUUUGGAAACUGUGCAGCUAGAGUGCAGGAGAGGUAAGUGGAAUUCCUAGUGUAGCGGUGAAAUGCGUAGAUAUUAGGAGGAACACCAGUGGCGAAGGCGGCUUACUGGACUGUAACUGACGUUGAGGCUCGAAAGCGUGGGGAGCAAACA